UACGGAGGGUGCGAGCGUUGUCCGGAAUCAUUGGGCGUAAAGGGCGCGUAGGUGGCCCGGUCAGUUCGUGGUGAAAGCGCGGGGCUCAACCCUGCGUCGGCCAUGAAUACUGCCGCGGCUGGAGCACUGUAGAGGCAGGCGGAAUUCCGGGUGUAGCGGUGAAAUGCGUAGAUAUCGGAAGGAACACCUGUGGCGAAAGCGGCUCACUGGACAGAAACUGACGCUGAGGCGCGAAAGCGUGGGGAGCGAACAGG
rnacentral:rRNA from 1 species